AUUCAAAUAGUUUAAACAAAACUUUGGCUUGUGGCGCUAAGAAUGUAAUAUUUACUUUGAGUA
rnacentral:tRNA from 1 species